rnacentral:rRNA from 1 species
GGUGAGUAACACGUGGGUAACCUGCCUCAAAGAGGGGGAUAGCCUCCCGAAAGGGAGAUUAAUACCGCAUAACAUUAUUUUCUCGCAUGAGAANAUAAUCAAAGGAGCAAUCCGCUUUGAGAUGGACCCGCGGCGCAUUAGCUAGUUGGUGAGGUAACGGCUCACCAAGGCGACGAUGCGUAGCCGGCCUGAGAGGGUGAACGGCCACAUUGGAACUGAGAUACGGUCCAGACUCCUACGGGAGGCAGCAGUGGGGAAUAUUGCACAAUGGGCGAAAGCCUGAUGCAGCAACGCCGCGUGAGUGAUGAAGGCCUUCGGGUUGUAAAGCUCUGUCUUCUGGGACGAUAAUGACGGUACCAGAGGAGGAAGCCACGGCUAACUACGUGCCAGCA